UACUAGAGUAGCACUCGCAUAUCAAUAAGCGGAGGAAAAGAAACUAACAAGGAUUCCCCUAGUAACGGCGAGUGAAGCGGGAAGAGCUCAAAUUUGAAAUCUUAAAGGGUUUCCCUUUACGAAUUGUAGUUUAAAGAAGUGUUUUCUGUUGAGGUUUUGGUAAAAGUUCUUUGGAAUAGGACAUCAUAGAGGGUGAGAAUCCCGUAUUUGACCUUUACUUUCAACUUUGUGAUACACUUUCAAAGAGUCGGAUUGUUUGGGAAUGCAGUCCAAAAUGGGUGGUAAAUUUCAUCUAAAGCUAAAUAUUGGCGAGAGACCGAUAGCGAACAAGUACCGUGAGGGAAAGAUGAAAAGAACUUUGAAAAGAGAGUUAAACAGUACGUGAAAUUGUCAAAAGGGAAGCGUUUGACACCAGUGUUGUUUUCUCUGAAAAUCAAUUAAAGAACUGUUUAUGCUAAGUUGUUUAGACUUUAUCAGCUAUCUGUUUAGCUUUUAGCUUUUCUUUAAUGCACUUUUCAGUUAACAAGUCAACAUCAAUUUCUUUUGCUGUAAAAAAGCUUGAGGAAGGUGGCUUGAGAUUCGUCUUAAGUGUUUAUAGCCUCUUGCCUAUGCAGUCGGAGAGAUUGAGGUCUGCAGCGUAGAUCCUUCGGGGCUAAAUGCAUUUGUGCUAAGUUAUAGCAUUUUAUAGACAACUUGUUGACUAUGAUUUGUCUUGUAGCUUACUCGCUUAUGUUAUUUUACCUACGCUUAGGAUGUUGAGCGCAUGUCUCUCUCU
rnacentral:rRNA from 1 species